CACGUAGGGCGCAAGCGUUGUCCGGAAUUAUUGGGUCGUAAAGAGCUCGUAGGUGGUUUGUUACGUCCGCUGUUGAAAUCCUAGGGCUUAACCCUGGGCUUGCAGUGGAUACGGGCAGACCUAGAGGUAGGUAGGGGAGACUGGAAUUCCUGGUGUAGCGGUGGAAAUGCGCAGAUAUCAGGAGGAACACCGGUGGCGAAGGCGGGUCUCUGGGCCGUAACUGACGCUGAGGAGCGAAAGCAUGGGGAGCGAACAGG
rnacentral:rRNA from 1 species